rnacentral:rRNA from 1 species
CGCCUCUUGCUUCAAUGAAUAAGAGGUCACGCCUGCCCUGUGACUAUAUGUUUAACGGCCGCGGUAUUUUGACCGUGCAAAGGUAGCGCAAUCACUUGUCCUUUAAAUGUGGACCUGUAUGAAUGGCAUAACGAGGGCUUAGCUGUCUCCUUUCUCAAGUCAAUGAACUUGAUCUCCCCGUGCAGAAGCGGGGAUAUAACCAUAAGACGAGAAGACCCUAUGGAGCUUUAGACAAAAAACAGCCCCUGUCAAUAAACCCUAAAUAAAGGAAAUAAACCUAGUGAACCUGUUUUAAUGUCUUUGGUUGGGGCGACCGCGGGGUAACAAAAAACCCCCAUGUGGAAUGAAAACACCCUUUUUAAAACCAAGAGUCACCACUCUAAGUUACAGAACAUCUGACCAAUAAUGAUCCGGCUAAAGCCGAUUAACGAACCGAGUUACCCUAGGGAUAACAGCGCAAUCCUCUUUUAGAGUCCAUAUCGACAAGAGGGUUUACGACCUCGAUGUUGGAUCAGGACAUCCCAAUGGUGCAGCCGCUAUUAAAGGUUCGUUUGUUCAACGAUUAAAGUCCU